UAAGAAUUCUGUCACUUCCCUCUGAACAGUGCUGAUUUUUGCGGUUAUUGUUUUAGCAGUUUAUUUCAGGACCAGGCAACUCCGUUAAAGUGAGGAAAGGCAGCACAGCCAACAGUAAACUCAACAGCAAAGGGUCUGAACUCUGAAAGGUGAGAAAACUGAAGCAAUACGGGUUAAGUAACUUUUUGGAUAACUUGCCUCUGGUAAGCAUCAGAGUGACAAUUGAAUCCCAAAGACUGGGACUUAAGUACGAAAAAGGAAAAAAAAAGUCAACCUCAAAACACAAAAAGAAUAUUAACUUCCGCAGUUAGCAUCUAUAUUUACUAACGAAUCAUGAUAGAAAGAAACGUUUGUUUCCCACCAAGUAUAUGUAUAAGCUCACAAGCAUUCUGCUGUUGUAUUUGCCACUCACAGAACGUGUUCAUGAUACUAAAUCGUAAAAUCUGUAAACCAAUACCAUUAUUGGGUUUAUAUUUUGGGUUAAACUGUUGACAUGUUCAAACAUUAUAAACGUCAAUAAUCAUGUUACAAGAAGAUAACUACUGGUGUGGAAACAACACUUACAUGUGGCCAUGGGUAAUGGGAGAGGGUCAGAAAUACAGUAUCAAAUCCCUGCAACACAGCAUGAGCUGGAUGCUGCAUAUUAAAGGGCAAAAAUAAGGUAGAGUGAUGAAAACAAGAAGAAGCUGGGUGUCCAAGGUAACUGUUGCCAUGUCAACACAUCAUAAACAGAUUGCCCUCCUUGGAGUAAGUUCAAGGAAUUUUCUGUCGCUCCUGCCCACGGAUUUGAACGUUCAGAAUGAAUUAAGUCUAAGCAAUUUUUAGAAAACUUCUACAUCCUAGAAGUCAAUGGCUACCAAACUGUGAGAAACAGGAAGCAGCGCUCUAGGCCUCACAAUCUAUACAGAAAAUGGAAGUUGAAUAUUAUGAGGAGAGACACACAUCAUUUCUGCUUAUAGUUCAUUGACGAGAAGUAGUUACAUGAUCUUACCUUACAGCAAGAGGCAGGGGCACGAUGGGAACAUACAUAGACACUUGAUGCUGAAUCACCAAAACAGAACAAAACAGGAAUACAAGAUUCCUUGUUAUGAUUUGGAUUCCUCAGAUCAGGCACACUUGGAUAAGACUUGAAUUCAAAACUGACAUGGCUGGAUGAGCGGUUUGGAGGUCAGCACCUGGGAUCUGAACCCGUGAACCCCAGGCUGCCAAAGAGGAGAGCAUGAAUUUAAACCACUGUAUUACCGGACCAGCCCGAAGUACAAUAUGUUUUAAAAGAACCACGAUAUGACCUUAUAUUGAACUUUAAAAAUAUCUGACGUUGUCUUUUCUAUGCCUAACAGAAAUUUUACCAUGAAUAAAAUAAUGACAUUCAUGGAAUGAGAGUUAACGUUUUUUGAGUGCUGCUCCUGUGCCAAGGAUGAAACUAGACACAUCAAUGCUCCUGUGCGUCCGCCCACAGCCUGCUUGUCUUCCCCAUCCACACCUCUGUGUCAGACAGUGACAUUAUCAUUUUUUACUGAAUCCAGCUUUCGUUUGCCUGCUUCUGAGAUUUUGCUAAGGCUUUUCAUCUUUUUGGUAUGGAUUCAACUUGUCGUACUUGAAUCUACUUUUAGGAUUUCACUAAGGUUGGAUUCCCCAGGUGUAGCAUCUGAAACAGGUCCGUGAGAUAUGUUGGGGGAGUGCUCUCAGGAGAAAGAGAAUGGAGAAGCAGCAUCAAGCAAAGAAAGCAGCUAAGCAAGGAUGUGCUGUCCACUAGAGCUUAGCUUUAAUUGCCCUACCCUUUGGCUGGCACUUCUGUGAGUCUUGGUGGCUUUUCAUGGCGGAUGAUCCAAACCAUCAAGUCAAAGGAGACUUAAGUCCAUUUUUAUGAUGCCCUUGUUAGUCCUCGGAUGCUUUUCUUGUCCAUGUGUGGUUUAAAUUCAGUUUAAAUAUCAAAAGAAAUACAAGAAAAUCACCAGAGUUCUAAACACUCCUCCUUGCCCUCAUCAGGCAGUGGCAGUCUACCUUCCUUUGAUGAUAAGGUAACUGAACCUUGCUUGCUGAUCUACUGGAACAAGGAAACCAAUGAAACCAGGCUGCAGUAAUGGUUUACAGACACUCUCACGUGUCUCCUUUUGGAAAUGUUCAUCCUGGUGGCUUGCGACUCUAGACCCUGAGUCUUGUGAGGACAAGAAGGGCCAAUCCCCCAAACAGGAUACUGUGAGUGAUGGUAAACAAGGCCAAUCCUAUUUUAACUCAUUGGUCCCUGGACCCAUUCAAUCUACCUCUUGGGCACACAGUACCAGAUAAUGGCCAUUGGUUUAAGGGGUAUACUCCAGCCUGAAAGAUAAUGCCCCAUUUUCACUAGUUGUCAUCCUCAAGCUUG
rnacentral:lncRNA from 1 species